GAUGAUCCUUUCUGUCUUAAGUCAACAAUGCUUCUUGACUUGAAGAAAUCCCCCACCUGCAAAUGCACAUCUCUGCAUCAAGCUCAUUUUCGGCUGGCUUCCAUUAUGGUUUAGAAGCUCCCAGGACCACAUGCUUCCUCUUUUAUUUCUGGGCUCACCAGUGCAGUGGAUUGCCUCAAUACACUAUGGAGAUUUCGGUGGAGAAAUAUGCGUCCAUCUGCUCAAUGCUACCUGCUUUCUGAAACCCCUCUGAACUCCUCCAGAAACAAUUAGAAUUUUCCACUGUAUUCUCUUAGUCCUUUGCUUAUGUAUGAGAGCACUUGCCCAACAUUAGUAUAAGUAUUUAAUUUAGGGAUCUGACUCCCAGAGUUCCGCAUCUUGUCUAAAUUUCCACAGUUUUAAUUCUCCCCUUACCUUGCUCCCGGUGCUAUCCCUGACACACAGUAGCUGCUUAAAACAUA